AGACAAGAAGCAGACGUACUUCCAAGAGGGAGCUGCAGUGAGGACACAGCCUGGUCACUGAGGUCAGAGGAGGCGCUGAAAGGUUUCCCUAAUAGUUCCUGGUGAAUCAAAGCAGAACCAUAAAGGUUGCUGGACUGCAUGAUGGCCUUACCCCUGAGCAGUCAUCCUGUUAAAGGAGGAACCAGUUAGAAGCUGUUUUCAAAGUAGCUGAGCAGAUUUCACCUCAACAGACAAAGCCGAUGGCAGAAGAUGUUUGGAGAAGAACUUCAGGCCGUGUACUGAAAAGUAGAUCAAAGCAGCUCGUGCUCUGUCUGCUUCCAUUCUGAUGGCAAGCAGAAGAAGAAGAAGAAGAAGAAGAAGAAGAAGAAGACUUCAGCCAAGUGGCGUUCAUGGUCUCAGUGAACAGUCAUGGUCACACACUGCAUGUGGUUUUAAAAGCAACAUGUCUGUUCACCACAACAAUGGAGAUGUGUAAUAUUAGUGCAGCUACGGUUUGUUCUUGAACAUCAGUUCUGUUUUCUACUUUGACCACUUAGAACAAAAAAGUGUUGUUUUCAGAUUCUUUCUUUUAAAUCUGUAAAGUACCUGCUCAUUUUUUAUUAAAAUUAGUUUCACAUAAAUGUUAGUGUUUCCUUUAUGAUCUUUUAAUGCUUACACUACACUGUACUCGUCUACAUUAGAGACAUUUCUGUUACCUAUGUAUGAGACUGGGCUGCUUGACUACAAUUUGGAAAUGGAUGCAAACUCACACGGAGCGUGCUAUUGUUUGUUUUUUUAAUAUGAUGGACUGAACACAGGACGUAUCUGACUAAGCAAAGAUGAAUCUGAUCCCAUUUCUACCUGUCUCUACUGUUUCAACUGUAACUGUCAGGAUAUAUAUUUAUUCCAGCUCUCAUAGGGCAAAGGAAUG